rnacentral:rRNA from 1 species
UACGAAGGGGGCUAGCGUUGUUCGGAAUUACUGGGCGUAAAGGGCUCGUAGGCGGCCAACUAAGUCAGACGUGAAAUCCCUCGGCUUAACCGGGGAACUGCGUCUGAUACUGGAUGGCUUGAGGUUGGGAGAGGGAUGCGGAAUUCCAGGUGUAGCGGUGAAAUGCGUAGAUAUCUGGAGGAACACCGGUGGCGAAGGCGGCAUCCUGGACCAAUUCUGACGCUGAGGAGCGAAAGCCAGGGGAGCAAACGGG